ensembl:lncRNA
GUUUGGCAGCAUAAGGAAGGUUUCAAAGCUAAGCUGCAUGCACAGCUCCACAGCCUCGCCUGGACUUUCUUCUUAAAGAUCUGGAAGCUUCGUGCAAAGCAUCAUUUUUCAAAGGAGUCAGUGUCUCACCACCUUUCAGGUACCUGGUGGUCCCCAGUCUCACCCAGAUGCUUGCUGAACCAUUUGUCCUUGGGGAUCACUGCAGAACUCUGGCAGCCCAAUGCAGAACUCUUCCUCACUGACCCUGCCACGCAGGACAAGGAGUGGCAGAGAGCCCUGACUGCAGCAGCUCUGCCUAUGGGACUGCACAGCAGAACUGCAGUUUCUCCCUCAGCUUCUCCAGUUUGGCUACGCACAAAUUACUUUGUCAUUGUGGUGAAACAAAUAAGGCUUCAUUAUCAUUACCAUCCUGACGGGAGUAAACAAGUUUAUUUACACUUGAGCACUACUGAAGAAUAAAGUCAUAGAGGAAAGUU